rnacentral:rRNA from 1 species
AUUGAACGCUGGCGGAAUGCUUUACACAUGCAAGUCGAACGGCAGCACGGACUUCGGUCUGGUGGCGAGUGGCGAACGGGUGAGUAAUGUAUCGGAACGUGCCCAGUCGUGGGGGAUAACGUAAUGAAAAUUACGCUAAUACCGCAUACGAUCUAUGGAUGAAGGCGGGGGAUCGCAAGACCUCGCGCGAUUGGAGCGGCCGAUAUCAGAUUAGGUAGUUGGUGGGGUAAAGGCCCACCAAGCCAACGAUCUGUAGCUGGUCUGAGAGGACGACCAGCCACACUGGAACUGAGACACGGUCCAGACUCCUACGGGAGGCAGCAGUGGGGAAUUUUGGACAAUGGGCGAAAGCCUGAUCCAGCCAUUCCGCGUGCAGGAUGAAGGCCCUCGGGUUGUAAACUGCUUUUGUACAGAACGAAAAGGUUUCUACUAAUACUAGGAGCUCAUGACGGUACUGUAAGAAUAAGCACCGGCUAACUACGUGCCAGCAGCCGCCGUAC